rnacentral:rRNA from 1 species
GUCUAUGGCCAUGUUACCCUGAACGUGCCCAAUCUCGUCUGAUCCUGGAAGCUAAGUAGGUUCGGGCCUGGUUAAUACUUGGAUGGGAGACCACUGUGGAAUACCAGGUGCUAUAGGCG